rnacentral:rRNA from 1 species
AAUAGAUACCCUGGUAGUCCUAGCUGUAAACGAUGAGCACUGGGUUGAGGGGACUUCCACAUCCUCUCGGCCGUAGCGAAAGCGUUAAGUGCUCCGCCUGGGGAGUAUGGCCGCAAGGCUGAAACUCAAAGGAAUUGACGGGGGCUCACACAAGCGGUGGAGGAUGUGGCUUAAUUCGAGGCUACGCGAAGAACCUUAUCCUAGAUUUGACAUGGUUGAGAAUCUCCUUGAAAGAGGAGAGUGCCCUUCGGGGAGCUCUUUCACAGGUGCUGCAUGGCUGUCGUCAGCUCGUGUCGUGAGAUGUUGGGUUAAGUCCCUUAACGAGCGAAACCCUUAUCUUUAGUUGCCAGCGGGUAAUGGCCGGGGACUCUAAAGAGACUGCCGGUGUCAAACCGGAGGAAGGUGGGGAGUGACGUCAAGUCCUCAUGGCCUUUAUGUCUAGGGCUGCACACGUCCUACAAUGGCACGUACAAAGGGAAGCCAAGCCGCGAGGCCGCGCUAACUCCCAAAAACGCGUCGCCCCAGUCCGGAUUGCAGG